UUGUGAAGUCUACAUGAAGCA
rnacentral:siRNA from 1 species